AAAAUCGUUUUUCUCUUUCACGACGUUCUUCCCGGAUUCAUAAGCGGGUGAGUGCGACGAGUUCAGUUUGUUUGUUAAGCUAAUGAUGUGUGUAGUCAAGUAUCCCAAGGCUAUAUUAAGCCACUUAUUAACUCACCGAAUGUGAAUCUUUCUUUUCAUGUUCACCUAACAUCCUCAUCCGAACUGAUAUAACAGAUUGUUGUAUGGCGUGGUCAUCUUGGAGUGUCUGCAAAGAAUGCAACCAGUACCGGCAAAGAGUCGAAUUUAACUGCUCAAGAACUCAGGAAUCACGGCCUUGUAACUGU